CUUCACCGAGCCCAGCCAGAGCGGGUUCUCGGCGUCGUGUUCCCGGCCGUACGUCGCCAGCAGCGCCUGCGCCUC
rfam:Streptomyces albus strain DSM 41398, complete genome.